GAACGUUGUAGACACCUCUUUCGCCACGGCUUUCAAAUCGUUCGUGCCAUUAACAGUCACGGUAAUGCUGCCAUCU
rnacentral:rRNA from 1 species